AGUGUGUGUGUGUUUUU
rnacentral:miRNA from 1 species